rnacentral:rRNA from 1 species
GCCGGCCUGAGAGGGCGACCGGCCACACUGGGACUGAGACACGGCCCAGACUCCUACGGGAGGCAGCAGUGGGGAAUAUUGCACAAUGGGCGAAAGCCUGAUGCAGCGACGCCGCGUGAGGGAUGACGGCCUUCGGGUUGUAAACCUCUUUCAGCAGGGAAGAAGCGAAAGUGACGGUACCUGCAGAAGAAGCGCCGGCUAACUACGUGCCAGCAGCCGCGGUAAUACGUAGGGCGCAAGCGUUGUCCGGAAUUAUUGGGCGUAAAGAGCUCGUAGGCGGCUUGUCGCGUCGGUUGUGAAAGCCCGGGGCUUAACCCCGGGUCUGCAGUCGAUACGGGCAGGCUAGAGUUCGGUAGGGGAGAUCGGAAUUCCUGGUGUAGCGGUGAAAUGCGCAGAUAUCAGGAGGAACACCGGUGGCGAAGGCGGAUCUCUGGGCCGAUACUGACGCUGAGGAGCGAAAGCGUGGGGAGCGAACAGGAUUAGAUACCCUGGUAGUCCACGCCGUAAACGGUGGGCACUAGGUGUGGGCAACAUUCCACGUUGUCCGUGCCGCAGCUAACGCAUUAAGUGCC